UACGGGGGGGGCAAGCGUUGUUCGGAAUUACUGGGCGUAAAGGGCUCGUAGGCGGCCAACUAAGUCGGAUGUGAAAUCCCCAGGCUCAACCUGGGAACUGCAUCCGAUACUGGAUGGCUUGAAUUCGGGAGAGGGAUGCAGAAUUCCAGGUGUAGCGGUGAAAUGCGUAGAUAUCUGGAGGAAUACCGGUGGCGAAGGCGGCAUCCUGGACCGACAUUGACGCUGAGGAGCGAAAGCCAGGGGAGCGGAACGGG
rnacentral:rRNA from 1 species